rnacentral:lncRNA from 1 species
UUCAGCGGUGAGUCACGGCAGGUGCUCGUUGUUGCGAAAAUAAGUGAAUAAAAAUUUAGUAAGAAUAAAAAGUCAUUUUCUUUUAUGAUAUUCUUUGUGAAAAAAUUAAUAUAAACAAUAAUAUAUACAAAAAUUGUGGAAACUUAAAUAACCUCUUGGCUUGAUAUAAAAACUUUUCAUUUAUUCGAAUCCACGAAUGUUAAGAUAGUCUGCACGUGUACCGAUUGAUAACGGGAUUACGUCAUAGGUUAGGUUUGUUGUUGAUCCAACGAUAUCUAGAACUGGUUAGGACGCGAAAAAUAAAAAGCACUCAGUUCAUGAGAAUCACUCAUGCAGUCAAGAGAUAUUUUUCCAUCUCCCUAUUUGAAUAAAUGGAAUUUUAUAUUUUACUUUGAUUAAUUAUGAAGCUUAAUUUCUUUUGAUGAUCAUUUCUAUUAGAGUUAGGUUUGAAAGGUACAAGAACAUAAUCAGCUAAUAUAAAAAGCAGAGAGAUGUACAUGUGAGUUUGAAUCAAGUAAAAUAGAAAAUUACUGCCAAUGAAGAGCAUCUUGCUAGCGCAAUGCUUGCUGAUUCUAUUUUCAGUGUAAAAAUAAGAGGACAGGUGGUCGAGACUAGUCUCUCUUCUGCUUCUCCUUUACAACAUUUGAGGAUAACGAGUGAAAGAGAGAGAGAGAGAGAGAGUAAUAAAAACAACCAUCCUCACGAUUCGUCGCAUGGGAUCAUCACGCUUGUGGGUCCUAAAAUAACCAAAAGCCAUCGACGUCGUUCAACAUGUAUAACGAACAUACUUAAGGAACAAGCAAAGAAUUCUCAUUGGAGCAGUGUGGUCACGACCUAUUCCAGCUAUGGUUUGACAAGUUCUCGAUCUUAGCGUGAGGUCCAUUCGGUGAGAUGUCCUGGAGGAUUUUCUACCAAGCUACGGUGAUGUUUCACUGCAUAGUGUAGCCUGUAAUGUCGUCUGGACAAUGACCACGUAGCCAAUGUGCAGCGUCACGCGCGCGCCAUCCUGUCGCCGUUUGCACUCGGUCACGGCGUGGGGUCUUUGGCUUUAUGUUCACGAGGAUCAGGAUUAUACCAAAACAUGCACUACAAGAUCAGGUCAAAAUUUUUUUCUAAGACUGCAUUAAGAAUAGAAGAAGAAAAAAGUAAAUAAAAAUGAUUCAAAAUUGAUGCAAAUUUGAGUACAAGAGUAAAGCAUCAGCUCUAGGAUUAAGCACUUUGUUUUUCUUGAAAAGUCAUGAGGUAAACGUCUGGUUCAGUUGGAGGAUUACGAGUGGUGGAUGAAUAAAUCAGACGAAAGAGAGAACAUUAGAUUUACGUCGCUAAAACAGGGGAUGUAAAGAAAAUGCGAAUGUUUCUCUUGAGACGACUCCUUCAUCCCCUCUAGAGUCCUGCAUCUUCGCGUGGCUUCAAAGUCCAUCGAAUGCACUAACACAAGGACUCAGCAGGUCGUCCUAAGCUGAAUUGAAUCCCUAUGAGAAUACACUCGGCUGAGACUCGAACCUUUUUAUAUCCCAUGUUUUAUAAAAAAUAUCAAGUACGAAUAAUAAACAAUGCCAGUGAACAAUAUUUAAAAAUUUCAAGGAAGAUAUUUCAAUGAUUUUUAAUGCAGAUGAAGCGAGAUAUUUAAAAUGAUAGGGAAUAAAAAAAAAGGAUUUAGGAAAGGUUAAAGGAUCACAGCGAUAUAACGAAGUGACAACUGAGUAGGUGGACACUGUACUCGUUGUAUAGCUUCAAGAGACACAUCACGAUGAGCUCCACAGCGUGAGUUCGUAUUAUUUGGUGCAAGCAUUCUUACAAGAUCCCCAUGACGAGGCCACGAAGUCGUUAGGCACCAUUCAGAAACUCCUUAAGUCGCUAUCUAGUAGCGAUUAUUUUGUCCUGUUAGUCAUAAUCCAAAGAUUGGACUCGACUAAAGAAUAAGAGAAUAAAAAAUUAAGAUUAAUCGUAAUUUUACUAGAAUAUAUAGUUUAAUUCUACAUAAAAAAAACAUCCUUUUUAAUAUCUGGCAAUAAACCAUAAAUAAACCUAUUCAUUAAAGAAUUUAUAGAAUUUAUAAAGAGAAUAAUAUUGAAAAAAAUUUGAAAUAUGCUGAGGAAGAAUGUAGGAAUAUUUUUUUGAUUCUCAAAUUAUAAAACAGUUUACGAAUAAUUUUUAUAACAGAAAUAAAAUUGCUUUCCUGUGAACUCUCUCACAUGUCGACCGGAAAAAAAAAGCUUGAGUUGAACGAAAUUCUUGAAAUGGAUAUAGAAACAUCACAGACACUCUAUUCAUUUUCUUUUAAGGUACAAGAGUCAUCAUUAUCCACUGAUGAAGCAUCAAGUGCAGUUGACGUAUUUACCCCACGAUACAACGCAGCCUUUCAGUUUCAUCAGUCAAAAGAAAAGCUAUCCAGAGUGAGAAAAAGACAAGCCUUCGCUUUAUAUUGGAUUAGGUCGAGUUAGGGUUCAUCAAAAAUUUCGUUUCAUGGUAACAAGGACAUGUAUUUAUACUCCAUAAUGGCAGC